AGGCUGCCAACACAGGACAGAAUGACAGCUCAAACUGAAUCCAUCAUCUAAUCUAAGAUUUCCAGUUUCCAGUUCCAUUUGGCACAAUUCAACCAUCUCCUGACCAUUUGCUCUUUUACUGCCUUAAGCUGGGGAAGCAAAAUCAGACGGAAGGAUAUAAUUUUACAUGGAAGCAAAAUGUUACUACUUGUACUGGGGAACAGAAAGUUAAAGUACGUUUGCAAAGCGGCCUAAAUUCUACCGAGGAGGAGUAGUUAAGUAAAGCUGCUGCCCUGCUCCAGACCAACAGCAGUUUCUGCACAUGAGCAACCUGCUUUCACUGAAAGGCUUCAUCUCCAAGAGUGCAGUUUUGCAUUGGCUUUGGGCCAUCCCACAAGCUUCCCAGAGUUUCUCUCUUACAGAGGGUACACACACAGCCUGAACUGCCUCUGCUAGGAAUGAUCCAGUCAGAUGGAGAAAGCUGUGGAGAGCAGUCACAGUUUGGGAUGCAUCUCUCCUGCUCCAUGGAUGCACACUACAACUUCCCAGCAAAUCCACAAGUGACAACAAACUUGGAGAACUGGCAUGGACCAAAAAAAGGCCCCGUGUUUAAUUAACCAAGCAAAAUGGAGUAUGCUAUAGGACAUGUUUCCCUCAAAUCCACUACUGUUACAGUUUCUAAUGAGGUUCCCUCAAGGGAAAGAAGUGCUCUGUUUUAUAAAGAAAAUUGUCAGUUCUGCAUCUAUCAACUAGGAAGGCUUUUAAUGAGGAGAGCUACUGAUCCAGAAUGACUCGCUACUGAAAGGUAUGAUGUAUACGUAAGAAAACCUUCCUACAGGACUUAAGGUUGAUAUCACACGCUGUGGUUAAAAUUGGAUUUUUUACAUCUUUUGUCUGGGGUGGGGGAGCCAACCAUUUCCUGAGAUGCCCAAUAUCUGGAUUUUUGUUAAGAAUUGUAACUCACAUCAAGAGAUUAUUUGUAUAUAUUUUGGGAACACCUCUCUGGCUAUUUCCUGACAGUGAUGACAUCACUUUGGGUAUAACCUCCAUUCAUUAGUGAGAAGCUCCCUACCCUUAGGUGGCCUUCAGCCAGUUGGACCAGCUGCACUAGGCAACGCUGUCUAGGGCCGGAACUGGUGACUUGGUGGCACAGACCUCCUGCAGGCUCCCUGGCUCCGAGAAGUUCCCAUCCCCAUGCAGGUCUUUGUGAUCCAAGUGGAUGCGAAACGGGACAGAACCAUGCUAAUGUGGGUUUACAGACCUGUUGCCUUCUCCAGGCUGAUUCUAAAUCCCCACUCACAAUGAAUGGCCACAGAAGUGCUGUUAAGUCUAGAUAUAUUCUAAAUUCUGCUCCUUUCUGAAAUCACAAAGCACAUUACUACUGGAACAAUUAAAGUAUCAAAACAUGCUGGUAAAAUCAAAAUUAAAA
rnacentral:lncRNA from 1 species